rnacentral:tRNA from 1 species
GCCCUAGUGGCACAGUGGUUAAGUGCUUGGCUGCUAACACAAAAGUUGAAGGUUUGAGUCCAUCCAAAGGCC